rnacentral:lncRNA from 1 species
GUUGCUAGGUGCUGUUUGAAAAAAAGGUUGCCAGGGUACUCUGAAAAGUUGCUAAAUCUAGCAACAACAUUGCUAAGUUGGCAUCACUGGUCCAUAGUGUCUGUGUAACAGUCUUGAUGUUUGACAUCCCUAGUACAAGGAGGAACUGGUGACUACCCUGAAUAGGCUAUGGAGGAAGCUGGGGACCUGUCUUAAUACACAACAAGACUUAGAAGAAACUGCAGGGCGUAUUAAGGUACCCUUCCUGACCCCAAGCCCUGAGCCAGACCCAGCACACUGAACAGCAGAUAAUAGGUGAGUUUGAGCAGCGUCAUCAGUUCCUGAGAGAGGAUGAGGCAGCCAGGAUCGCUGCCUUGAAGAACGAGGUUGAGUAGAAGAUGAAGCCGAUUCAAGAUAAGAUAGAGUCGAUGGAUAGAGACACAGACUCUCACUGAUGGGAUCCAAACCCUAGAGCAUUAGCUGGGACGAUCAUUCCUUCAGGCCAGGAGUCAAGACUGCUCACUCUAAGACUGCUCAAGACUGCUCACUCUAAGACUGUUCAAGACUGCUCACUCUAAGACUACUCACUCUAAGACUGCUCAAGACUGCUCACUCUAAGACUGCUCAAGACUGCUCACUCUAAGACUGCUCAAGGCUGCUCACUCUAAGACUGCUCAAGACUGCUCACUCUAAGACUGCUCAAGACUGCUCACUCUAAGACUGCUCACUCUAAGACUGCUCAAGAUUGCUCACUCUAAGACUGCUCAAGGCUGCUCACUCUAAGACUGCUCAAGAUUGCUCACUCUAAGACUGCUCAAGGCUGCUCACUCUAAGACUGCUCAAGAUUGCUCACUCUAAGACUGCUCAAGGCUGCUCACUCUAAGACUGCUCAAGAUUGCUCACUCUAAGACUGCUCAAGAUUGCUCACUCUAAGACUGCUCAAGGCUGCUCACUCUAAGACUGCUCAAGAUUGCUCACUCUAAGACUGCUCAAGACUGCUCACUCUAAGACUGCUCACUCUAAGACUGCUCAAGGCUGCUCACUCUAAGACUGCUCAAGACUGCUCACUCUAAGACUGCUCAAGACUGCUCACUCUAAGACUGCUCACUCUAAGACUGCUCAAGACUGCUCAUUCUAAGACUGCUCACUCUAAGACUGCUCAAGGCUGCUCACUCUAAGACUGCUCAAGGCUGCUCACUCUAAGACUGCUCACUCUAAGACUGCUCAAGACUGCUCACUCUAAGACUGCUCAAGACUGCUCACUCUAAGACUGCUCAAGGCUGCACACUCUAAGACUGCUCAAGACUGCUCACUCUAAGACUGCUCAAGACUGCUCACUCUAAGACUGCUCAAGGCUGCUCACUCUAAGACUGCUCAAGACUGCUCACUCUAAGACUGCUCAAGACUGCUCACUCUAAGACUGCUCAAGACUGCUCACUCUAAGACUGCUCAAGACUGCUCACUCUAAGACUGCUCACUCUAAGACUGCUCAAGGCUGCUCACUCUAAGACUGCUCAAGACUGCUCACUCUAAGACUGCUCAAGACUGCUCACUCUAAGACUGCUCAAGGCUGCUCACUCUAAGACUGCUCAAGACUGCUCACUCUAAGACUGCUCAAGGCUGCUCACUCUAAGACUGCUCAAGAUUGCUCACUCUAAGACUGCUCACUCUAAGACUGCUCAAGGCUGCUCACUCUAAGACUGCUCAAGAUUGCUCACUCUAAGACUGCUCAAGACUGCUCACUCUAAGACUGCUCACUCUAAGACUGCUCAAGACUGCUCACUCUAAGACUGCUCAAGACUGCUCACUCUAAGACUGCUCACUCUAAGACUGCUCAAGGCUGCUCACUCUAAGACUGCUCAAGACUGCUCAC